UAUCCUGCUUCUUUUCAGGAAAAGGAUCAAAGCUGGUUCCCAGACUGUGAUGUCAGACCCUCCUCUCACGGACGGAGAAAGACUUCAGCCAUCACAAGUGUUUGUAAUAAACCACCUUGUCUGCAUGCCAAGAGAUUGCCACUGAGAGAAACAAAUUGCUGCUGAUGACAGAGAUGAUGAAGUCAGCCUGAUGUAGUCAAGCAGUGCCACAAAGGAAAAAGUGUACAUUUUCUGAGAGAGACAAAAAAGCCCUUCUUGUGACUGAGGCCAAAUGAUUCAUAGUAAAUGCUAAUGGAGACAUAAUUUCAGCAUUGACUACAUCUGCCUUCCCUACUUGGGAACUCAAGAGAGACCUGAGUGAAACAUCCUAUAAAAAAAGAGACAAAUGAUUUCUCUGGAGUGUUCCAGUUCAUGCUUCUGGUCUGGAGCAUGCUUGAGUUCUUGUGGCAAAAAAUGGAGGUUUCAAGGUAUGUAGCCUUCAGAAAGCUUGUGAUGAGAUGUGAGGGACUUGGCGGUCUUAGAUUGGAAGCAAGAUAAUUGAUUUGAGUUUGUUAUGACACUGCAACUUAUUACAACAAGCAGUCUGCCCUGUGCAAGAGUAGAGCAAGAGGAGACCAGGCACAUUCCCAGAAGAGUAACAAUCCAAAGUUUACACUUCCAGUGAAAUGCUGUCUGAGAUGUGCUGGAAAAAGAAAGAUACAGUGUGGGUGGGAAGAGAGAGAGACACCACAUCUUCUUGAGAGACACCAUGACUUACCAACUCUGCGUCAAAGCUUUUCCUUCACCUAAGGAGUCAGCAGCAGAAGAGGAGCAAGGAAGGUGAAUUCCAACACCCAGCACCAUGUACAAGGUACAAGAGUGAAGUCCUGGAGCUGCCCUAGGACUAUUUGCUGUAUUUCUUCAUCAGGAGUGAGAGCCAGAGCUUUCCUUUUCAAUUUCAAAAUUGAAGAUUAAUAUAAUUGAUAAGAAAAAAAGGCAGAUGUUAUCUUCUUGACUUGUAAG